UGAAUGGAUACGUGUAUUUUACACAGGUGUAAAAUGGUAUGAAACUGCAACUCUUGUGAAAAUGGAUCCUCUCAGCUGAGAUUCUGAUUUUAACAUAACCCCUACUUUAUGCUACUGUUUUGGAGCUACAGCUCCUAACUCAAUACCAGAAACUCUCUCAGCAAACUUCAAGCUGCUACUUGCAAAGCAAGGCCUGUAGAAAUUAAGAAAUGAAGAACGAUGAUUUUACCAAGGGAAGAUUGCAGAAGUUGAGUAAGCUUGCUAUUUCUGUAUGGCACAUGAGCAUUCUUUUGAGCAAGAGCAAAGAUGACAUCUCCAAGAGCAGAUAGUGAUUUGUUGAUAUGCUGUGCUUCCUUAAGUCGAUCACCAGUCACUUCAGACCGAUCUACCCUCUCACU